GCUGUCAUAUGGGCUGUCAGAUGUGUGCUCAUCCCCAGAAACUAAGGAGCUGAUUGAUGUACAAGGAGUCUUCUGACCUUUUUUCCUGAACCUUGCAGAACUGCCUUUCUUUGAGCUGGAAAAUUGCCUUUCACUUGGGAGGACAGGACACCCUUAGAAAAAAUUCUCUGUGCUCUCCUUUUGCAUCCUUGCUCAGGAAAGAGAUGACAUGCUACAAG